AUUCAACUGGUGAGUUUCAAAUAGGACAAAACGCGCGUACUGAAU
rfam:Schistosoma haematobium scaffold221_4, whole genome shotgun sequence.